CAGCUAAUAGUUUAUUUAAAAUAUUAAUUUUGGAUAUUAGGGAAAAGUUUAAUUUUUUAGCUGA
rnacentral:tRNA from 1 species